rnacentral:tRNA from 1 species
GCGCCCGUAGCUCAGCUGGAUAGAGCAACAGCCUUCUAAGCUGUGGGCCACAAGUUCGAAUCUUGUCGGGCGUA